UACAGAGGUCUCAAGCGUUGUUCGGAUUCAUUGGGCGUAAAGGGUGUGUAGGUGGCGCGCUAAGUCGGGUGUGAAAUUUUGGAGCUUAACUCCGAAACUGCAUUCGAUACUGGCGUGCUUGAGGACUGGAGAGGAGACUGGAAUUCAUGGUGUAGCAGUGAAAUGCGUAGAGAUCAUGAGGAAGACCAGUGGUGAAGGCGGGUCUCUGGACAGUUCCUGACACUGAGGCACGAAGGCCAGGGGAGCAAACGGG
rnacentral:rRNA from 1 species